rnacentral:rRNA from 1 species
CCCUUCGGGGUGAGCGGCGGACGGGUUAGUAACGCGUGGGAAUAUGCCCAAAGGUACGGAAUAGCCUCUGGAAACGGAGAGUAAUACCGUAUGUGCCCUUCGGGGGAAAGAUUUAUCGCCUUUGGAUUAGCCCGCGUUAGAUUAGGUAGUUGGUGGGGUAAUGGCCUACCAAGCCUACGAUCUAUAGCUGGUUUUAGAGGAUGAUCAGCAACACUGGGACUGAGACACGGCCCAGACUCCUACGGGAGGCAGCAGUGGGGAAUCUUGGACAAUGGGGGCAACCCUGAUCCAGCCAUGCCGCGUGAGUGAUGAAGGCCUUAGGGUCGUAAAGCUCUUUCGCCUGUGAAGAUAAUGACGGUAGCAGGUAAAGAAACCCCGGCUAACUCCGUGCCAGCAGCCGCGGUAAUACGGAGGGGGUUAGCGUUGUUCGGAAUUACUGGGCGUAAAGCGCACGUAGGCGGAUCGGAAAGUUGGGGGUGAAAUCCCGGGGCUCAACCCCGGAACUGCCUCCAAAACUAUCGGUCUAGAGUUCGAGAGAGGUGAGUGGAAUUCCGAGUGUAGAGGUGAAAUUCGUAGAUAUUCGGAGGAACACCAGUGGCGAAGGCGGCUCACUGGCUCGAUACUGACGCUGAGGUGCGAAAGUGUGGGGAGCAAACAGGAUUAGAUACCCUGGUAGUCCACACCGUAAACGAUGAAUGCCAGUCGUCGGGUAGCAUGCUAUUCGGUGACACACCUAACGGAUUAAGCAUUCCGCCU